CCUACGGGUGGCAGCAGUGAGGAAUAUUGGUCAAUGGACGAGAGUCUGAACCAGCCAAGUAGCGUGAAGGAUGACUGCUCUCUGAGUUGUAAACUUCUUUUAUAUGGGAAUAAAAUGUUCCACGUGUGGGAUUUUGUCUGUCUCAUAUGAAUAAGGAUCGGCUAACUCCGUGCCAGCAGCCGCGGUAAUACGGAGGAUCCGAGCGUUAUCCGGAUUUAUUGGGGUUAAAGGGAGCGUAGGUGGAUUGUUAAGUCAGUUGUGAAAGUUUGUGGCUCAACCGUAAAAUUGCAGUUGAAACUGGCAGUCUUGAGUACAGUAGAGGUGGGCGGAAUUCGUGGUGUAGCGGUGAAAUGCUUAGAUAUCACGAAGAACUCCGAUUGCGAAGGCAGUUCACUGGACUGCAACUGACACUGAGGCUCGAAAGUGUGGGGAUCAAACAGGAUUAGAUACCCCAGUAGUC
rnacentral:rRNA from 1 species